UGUAACCUAACCCUAUGCUUCGCUUUCUUGACUCCCGAGGUCGCGUGGCUUACACUGUAGUGAGGACAUCAGUUGCGCAAGGCGGCUGUGGCAAGGACGUCGACGACCGCCUUGCGCAGCGGCGAGGAUGUCGGCGGUCGCCUCGCGUUAUGGCAAAGACGACGAUCACCCCCUUCGCGCUGUAGCGAGGACAACGACCCCCUUCGCGCUGCAGCGAGGAUGACAACCCCCUUCGUGCUUUGGCGAGGGAUGCCCACUGCCCCUCGCGCGACGAUGAGGAUGCCCACGACCGCCUCGCACGACUACGAGGAUGCCCACGGUCGCCUCGCGCAGCGGCCCCAAGGUUGCCUCUCUCGAUCACGAGGACGCCCACAACUGCCUCACACGGGGCGCGCCUCUUGUCUAUCGUACUGUCAAUGAUUUACAUCCACUCGCCAUUACGAUGGAUGGGAGAGACCAAAUGCCGCCAACAGAAAUGGCAUUGGAUUGAAGUGGAAUAAAGAUAAUUUUUCUUGAUUUAUGUGGUUUAUUAUAUUUUUCAUUGAGGUUAGAUGAGCGUUUAUAUUCCUUCCACAUAGUAUUAGGUUGACUAUGCUUUGUAUUGUUAUAAAGGCGCCUUGAUUUAGUAAAUUCGAGAUUGUUUUGUUCUCUUGUAUUAUUUUUCUUAGAUGCAAGAAAUUGUGCUUUUUUUUCAACAACCCAUCUUAUGCUCCUGUUAUACAAAUACCAAUUGGCUAGCUUACUUGCAUGAAUUCUAAAAUUUUAUUAGCAUUCCCAAGAUUUUUCUUUCUAAUACCAAAUCUAAGCAGAUUUUAAGCUUUUUUUUUAAAUGAAAUUUUUAUCGUUGAUAUUAAAUAAAAUUUAUAUCUUUGAUAUGGUUAAAACUGUUUUGCAUGAAUUACUGAAACUAUGAGGUACUGUUAUAAAGGAUAUCUCUUUAUGGGAGCCUCAACAGAUCAUAUUUGCUUAUAUUGACCUAAAUCUUUUGGUAAAUCUAAUAGGGUAAGGUGAUCUUGAGGUAUAAUUUUCUUUUGCAAGCAAUUAUAAGUCUUUGUUAGUUAUGUUGGUGGAAACAAGUGUGGACAUACUUGAUGUUUAUGAUAUUAUUUUUGUUUGAAUUGUGGAUUGAUUUUUAUUCUUCUUGUAAUACAGGUAAAAUAAAUUAUGAAUACAUUAGUACUUUCUGAUUUUCUCCUUUGACCACUACUGAUAUGUUGUCAACUUGCUUAACUGAAGGUGGUGAUCCUACCUUAUAUAAACUCUAUAAAAUUACUCAACUCUAUCCGAAGGUAGAUAUAUUUGCCUAGCUCCAAAAAGCGAGUGAAGCAUUUACAACUUAUAUUAAAGAUGGAUUUGCUCAUAUGAAGAAGAAUGCAGUAGCUGGAAAGCCACCUUCCAGUCUUCCCAUGACUACACCUCCACCAACAACUAUUUCAUCUCUAAAGUUUGGACUACUUUCUUCUAUACACACGAAGUCAGUUAAUGCAAAAGUUGAUAGCAUAUAUCUAAGUGCAUACAUAGAUGAUGGUGCUGUCAAAACAACUGCAAGUCACUGAUUUGACCUUCCAGAGUUUAGGCCUUAUUUAGGAGAUGAGCAAAUGGACCAAGGAUUUGAUUUCUAUUAGAGUCGUGACAGCAGAAAUAAAGAUUAAAUUAUUUGUGGUGGGAUUUAAAAUUUUAUCAGUUACUUAUAGUUUAAUUAAUGGUUAAAUUUGUUUGGAUGUUUUGAAUAUAUAUUUAUCUUGUUAAUUGAA